UGGAAAUGAGGCUACACCUUCAGGGUGCA
rnacentral:sRNA from 1 species